UCCCGGUUACCCGGGCAGUCUCGUGUGAAAGUGUAACACACGACAAGGGUUGCGCUCGUUGCGGGACUUAACCCAACAUCUCACGACACGAGCUGACGACGGCCAUGCAGCACCUGUCACUUGGCUCCAAAAGGCACUUCCAUCUUUCGACGGAAUUCCAAGGAUGUCAAGCCUCGGUAAGGUUUUUCGCUUAGCAUCGAAUUAAACCACAUACUCCACUGCUUGUGCGGGUCCCCGUCAAUUCCUUUGAGUUUUAAACUUGCGUUCGUACUCCCCAGGCGGGAUGCUUAUCGCGUUAGCUUCGUGACACAAAGGGUCGAGACCCCAUAUCACUAGCAUCCAUCGUUUACGGCGUGGACUAC
rnacentral:misc_RNA from 1 species